rnacentral:rRNA from 1 species
GCUGGCGGCGUGCUUAACACAUGCAAGUCGAGCGGAAAGGCCCUUCGGGGUACUCGAGCGGCGAACGGGUGAGUAACACGUGAGUAACCUGCCCUAGGCUCUGGGAUAACUGUCGGGAACGAUGGCUAAUACCGGAUAUUCAGGCAUGAUCGCAUGAUUGUGUUUGGAAAGUUUUUCGGCUUGGGAUGGGCUCGCGGCCUAUCAGCUUGUUGGUGGGGUGAUGGCCUACCAAGGCUUCGACGGGUAGCCGGCCUGAGAGGGCGACCGGCCACACUGGGACUGAGACACGGCCCAGACUCCUACGGGAGGCAGCAGUGGGGAAUAUUGCACAAUGGGCGAAAGCCUGAUGCAGCGACGCCGCGUGAGGGAUGACGGCCUUCGGGUUGUAAACCUCUUUCAGCAGGGACGAAGCGGAAGUGACGGUACCUGCAGAAGAAGCGCCGGCCAACUACGUGCCAGCAGCCGCGGUAAGACGUAGGGCGCGAGCGUUGUCCGGAUUUAUUGGGCGUAAAGAGCUCGUAGGCGGCUCGUUGCGUCAACCGUGAAAACCCGGGGCUUAACUUCGGGCUUGCGGUUGAUACGGGCGGGCUGGAGUUCGGUAGGGGAGACUGGAAUUCCUGGUGUAGCGGUGAAAUGCGCAGAUAUCAGG